AGGACGAACGCUGGCGGCGUGCCUAAUACAUGCAAGUCGAGCGCGGGAAGCAGACAAUCACCCUUCGGGAUGUGCGCCUGUGGAACGAGCGGCGGAUGGGUGAGUAACACGUGGGCAACCUGCCUGUAAGCUUGGGAUAACUCGUGGAAACGCGAGCUAAUACCGAAUAAAAAGUCUGUUCGCAUGAACGGACGAUGAAAGACGGCUUUUGCUGUCACUUACAGAUGGGCCCGCGUCGCAUUAGCUAGUUGGUGGGGUAAAAGCUCACCAAAGCAACGAUGCGUAGCCGACCUGAGAGGGUGACCGGCCACACUGGGACUGAGACACGGCCCAGACUCCUACGGGAGGCAGCAGUAGGGAAUCUUCCGCAAUGGACGAAAGUCUGACGGAGCGAACCGCCGCGUGAGUGAUGAAGGUUUUCGGAUCGUAAAACUCUGUUGUCGGGGAAGAACAAGUAUCGGCCUAAUACGCCGGUACCUUGACGGUACCUGAUUAGAAAGCCCCGGCUAACUACGUGCCAGCCGCCGC
rnacentral:rRNA from 1 species